GCCUCCGUAGCUCAGGGGACAGAGCGUUGGUUUCCGGUACCAAAGGUCGCAGGUUCGAUUCCUGUCGGGGGCA
rnacentral:tRNA from 1 species